UACGGGGGGGGCAAGCGUUGUUCGGAAUUACUGGGCGUAAAGGGUUCGUAGGUGGCCUACUAAGUCAUACGUGAAAUCCCUCAGCUUAACUGGGGAACUGCGUCUGAGACUGGAAGGCUUGAGUGCAGGAGAGGAACGCGGAAUUCCAGGUGUAGCGGUGAAAUGCGUAGAUAUCUGGAGGAACACCGGUGGCGAAGGCGGGUAGCUGGGCCGACACUGACGCUGAGGCGCGAAAGCCAGGGGAGCGAACGGG
rnacentral:rRNA from 1 species